rnacentral:rRNA from 1 species
UAGGGAAUCUUCCACAAUGGACGAAAGUCUGAUGGAGCAACGCCGCGUGAGUGAAGAAGGGUUUCGGCUCGUAAAACUCUGUUGUUAAAGAAGAACAUAUCUGAGAGUAACUGUUCAGGUAUUGACGGUAUUUAACCAGAAAGCCACGGCUAACUACGUGUCAGCAG